rnacentral:rRNA from 1 species
AGCGAACGCUGGCGGCAGGCUUAACACAUGCAAGUCGAACGCCCGGGCAACCGGGAGUGGCGGACGGGUGAGUAACGCGUGGGAACGUACCCUUUGGUUCGGAAUAACUCAGGGAAACUUGAGCUAAUACCGGAUAAGCCCUUACGGGGAAAGAUUUAUCGCCGAAGGAUCGGCCCGCGUCCGAUUAGCUAGUUGGUGAGGUAACGGCUCACCAAGGCGACGAUCGGUAGCUGGUCUGAGAGGAUGAUCAGCCACACUGGGACUGAGACACGGCCCAGACUCCUACGGGAGGCAGCAGUGGGGAAUAUUGGACAAUGGGGGCAACCCUGAUCCAGCCAUGCCGCGUGAGUGAUGAAGGCCUUAGGGUUGUAAAGCUCUUUCGGCGGGGACGAUAAUGACGGUACCCGCAGAAGAAGCCCCGGCUAACUUCGUGCCAGCAGCCGCAGUAACAC